CGGGUGCCGUGGGGGUGCCGGCGGGAGCCGGCUGAGACGGGCACGCCCGAACCCUGGAACCUGAUCUGGGUCAUGCCAGCGGAGGGAAGCGGCCUCCUCCCGGUC
rnacentral:ncRNA from 1 species